UCCCUGCCCCAGCCUGACCUCUGCUCCCUCAUUUUGGGGGCCCCAGCAGGUCCAAUCUUCAGUGAGAACAGAAUCCAGGGGUAACUGAAGUGCCAUUUCCAGACGUGUUCCAGGACUCUUUCUAGCCAUUCAGCCAACAAAUACUUCCUGAAGGCCUACUAUGCGCUUGACAUAGUACUGGAGACUGGACAUUCAGCAGUGAUCAGAUGGACAAAAGCCUCUGCCGGACAGUUCCACGUCCCAGUGCCACGCCACGUGCUGUUUGGGGGCCUUCAGCAUCUGUAGGAAAACAUGCCAGACUUAACCUGUCUGGGCUGCUGUCACAAACUGCCAUCGACUGAGCCACUUAAACAGAAAACAAGUAUCUCACAGUCUCGGAGACUGGAAGUCUGAGACCAAGAUGGCAGCGUGGUCAGGUUGCUGAGAGUCCUCUUCUGGAUUGCAUCCUGCCAAUUUCUCACUGUGUCCUCAUGUGGCCAAAAGGAGGAGGAAGAGGUUAGGACACAUUCACACAGAGGGAAGACUGUGUGAGGACACAAUAAGAAGUUUGCCAUCUGCGAGCUAAGGAGAGAGAAAUGAACAGUCACACCCUGCCAACACCUGAAAAUCGGACUUUCCAGAAUGGUGAGGAAAUAAAUUCCUAUUCUUUAAGAAACCUAAGCUGUGGUAUCUUGUUGUGGGGCAAUAUAGUGAAAAUCAUAUGCUGUAUGUUUUGUUGAAUGUUCUGGUUUAUU